rnacentral:rRNA from 1 species
CCUACGGGAGGCAGCAGUGGGGAAUAUUGGACAAUGGGGGGAACCCUGAUCCAGCAAUGCCGCGUGUGUGAAGAAGGCCUGAGGGUUGUAAAGCACUUUCAGUGGGGAGGAGAGUAUGUUGGUUAAGAGCUGAUAUAUGAGACGUUACCCACAGAAGAAGCACCGGCUAACUCCGUGCCAGCAGCCGCGGUAAUACGGAGGGUGCGAGCGUUAAUCGGAAUUACUGGGCGUAAAGGGUGCGUAGGUGGUUGAUUAAGUUAUGUGUGAAAUCCCCGGGCUUAACCUGGGCAUUGCAGAUAAGACUGGUUAACUAGAGUAUGGGAGAGGGUAGUGGAAUUUCCGGUGUAGCGGUGAAAUGCGUAGAGAUCGGAAGGAACACCAGUGGCGAAGGCGGCUACCUGGCCUAAUACUGACACUGAGGCACGAAAGCGUGGGGAGCAAACAGGAUUAGAUACCCUGGUAGUCCACGCCGUAAACGAUGUACAACUAGCUGUUGGUUAGAUAGAACUAAUUAGUAGCGCAGCUACGACGAUAGUUAGACCGCCGUCGGGUAGGUACGGUCGCGAGAAGUUAAACGUUAACGUAAGUAGAGUAGUAGNGNGAGACGAGCGACGACGACGACGAGGAGGAGG